CCUACGGGUGGCUGCAGUGAGGAAUAUUGGUCAAUGGCCGGAAGGCUGAACCAGCCAAGCCGCGUGAAGGACGAAGGUGCCAAGCAUUGUAAACUUCUUUUGUCAAGGGAUAAAGUCAGGCUCGAGUGCCUGACCGAGGGUACUUUAAGAAAAAGCAUCGGCUAACUCCGUGCCAGCAGCCGCGGUAAUACGGAGGAUGCGAGCGUUAUCCGGAUUUAUUGGGUUUAAGGGGUGCGUAGGGGGGCUGUUAAGUCAGCGGUAAAAGCCCGGGGCUCAACCCCAGCGAUCCGUUGAAACUGGCUGCCUUGAGUUGACGAGAGGUAUGCGGAAUGCGCAGUGUAGCGGUGAAAUGCUUAGAUAUUGCGAAGAACUCCGAUUGCGAAGGCAGCAUACCGACGGCGCUCUGACACUGAGGCACGAAAGCGUGGGUAUCGAACAGGAUUAGAUACCCUGGUAGUC
rnacentral:rRNA from 1 species